rnacentral:rRNA from 1 species
CCUACGGGAGGCUGCAGUGGGGAAUAUUGCGCAAUGGGCGAAAGCCUGACGCAGCGACGCCGCGUGAGGGAUGAAGGUCUGCGGAUCGUAAACCUCGGUCAGCAGGGAAGAACGGUCACGGGGCUAAGCAGCAGUGAAUUGACGGUACCGGCAAAGGAAGCACCGGCUAACUCCGUGCCAGCAGCCGCGGUAAUACGGAGGGUGCGAGCGUUAAUCGGAAUUACUGGGAGGACAGCGCUCGUAGGCGGUAUGUCAAGUCAAGGGGGAAAUCCCCGCGCUCAACGUGGGAACUGCCUUUGAAACUGGCACCCUGGCGUGUGUGCGCGGUUAGUGGAAUUCCCGUUGUAGGCG